GACUCUAAUCCAAUUGUGAUUUUCAUUGACUAUAUUGAGGGUGAGGAACAGGUUAGUAAUUAAAGGUGAUUUUACAGACUUCUAGAGAGAAAGAGUAUGUCUAAAAUAGUAAAUUUAGCAUUAUCUUUAAAAAAUCAAUUGUGUGUUCUUUGUAUUUGGUAUCAAAUAUCUGUUUCAUAAACUCAGAAAUACUGAUGUGUAGCACAUGCUGUCACUUUGAUUCAAAUUGAACAAGUAACUUCCCAGGUAUGAAAAGCCAGUUUUCUUUGGGUAAAAAUCAACUUCUUUGUAAACAUUAAAAUGUGGCUGUAUCUUCUGCCCUCAAAGUUUAAUAAAUAAAUAAAAUAUUUAACUCACUCCAAUGGUUUGUGAAGCUGAAAUACCUAAGUGCAGUGUUUGGUCCAUCCUGAGGUUAGGCAGUUUACAAACAGACAGCUUCAGUCCUAAAAUUCAUAUUGUUACGGUUUUAAAACUGAAGCGAUACCUAAUUUUACCUAAUAUUUUACGUGGAGGCCCUUGGUGUACGUAGUGUUCCCGUUAUUUUGGACAUUAAAACAAGAAACACCUCUACCCUGUAAUGUUUCGAUUUGCAUCAGGGACCGAUGUAGUCAGUGCCCACUGCUACAGAUUUUGGCAGACACGCAAAGUAAAUCACGUGCCCGCUGUAUGCAGUGUGUUGAGCAAUCUUUGGUUUUGGCUGAGGCUUUAGAUGGGUGAUGGGAUAGUUAACUAAGAAACGUUCAACAGAAUCUACUAACAUGUUAUAGGAUGAGUUUUAUAGACCGUGUGUACCCUGUCCCACGGGGUCAUGGACAAGUAGUAUUUGAAGCUAUUCCUUCAGCAUAUUGGGCUUCAGGUGUAUGGGAAGUACUAGACUAGCAAGCCAAUUUAACCUUGUCCUCUCGGGAAGGACUCCCAGUUUAGUGAUUUAACAUGUUUGUUUAAAAGAGCGGAGGAGGGUGUCAGCAAGGGUGUUCACAUCCAGGGGUCGGAACCUGAGUCUGGGGACCCCAGAGCCUCCUGGGGCCUCUGGGAGGCGGCCAGAGAAGGGAGGCUGAGGUCUCUGCCCCUCCUCCCAGCUCCUCACGCCCCUACAGCACAUGAGACUCCCGCCCGCAGCCUCUGGAAGGAUCCAGGGCUGAUCUUGGAGCCCAGGCCCAGGAAAGAAUUCUGAUUCACUGCCUUGGAAUCAGCUGAGGAAUAGACCUGAAUCUGCAGAGCAGAGUGGGGGUGAAUGGAGUGAAAUUCUGCUGAAUUCACAGCUCGAGCCCCUGGCUGAAUGGGGUGUGUUGAUUCCACCCACCAGCAUUGCUUGUCCCUCUUCUCUGCCACGUUGGAAGAUAAAUCGAAGCCACCUGUGGAAGGAGAACGCAUAUGAAGAUGAGGUAUCAUCAUUCCCUCAUUCUGAGCACCCUUCUGCCAAGUACAUAGAAGAAAAUUAUUAAUCACCCCUUACCUGGACAGUAUAAGUAUCGCGUCUGCAGCUGUGAUCUGCCGAUGAUUAAAAAGCACUCAUUCCACCGACGGUGCCGCCCGAUCAUCGCAGAUCUUUGAGGAGCAUCACUCACAGGCACUGCUCCUUGACAUCCUUCACAACCCAGCCGAGGUGCCCAGAAGGUCUUUAAUGUACUCAGUAAAGUUUACUCC